rnacentral:rRNA from 1 species
UACGUAGGGGCCUAGCGUUGUCCGGAUUUAUUGGGCGUAAAGAGCUCGCAGGCGGUCGAUCAAGUCGAGUGUGAAAGCCCCCGGCUCAACUGGGGAGGGUCAUUCGAUACUGAUCGACUCGAAGGCAGGAGAGGGUAGUGGAAUUCCCGGUGUAGUGGUGAAAUGCGUAGAUAUCGGGAGGAACACCAGUGGCGAAGGCGACUACCUGGCCUGUUCUUGACGCUGAGGCGCGAAAGCUAGGGGAGCAAACGGG